GUCUAAGUUGUCAUCGUGACGAAUCACAUUUCCUAAAAUCGGUUGUGAGUAGCAGAUUUAUUUAAAGUAAUUAUAGUCCUAAAUCCCAUGAUUACGUUGAAAUACUACGAAUUAAGGACCCCACUCUGAAUUUAACUGUGUGCAGUAAAUUGGCAUUGUCUAGUUGCUCAGGAUAAUUGUAAGAUACUGUGUAUUGCAUAACUGACACGUCGCUGAAGAUAGUUCGGGUAGAUCGUUACGAGGAA